UUUUUUUUUUUUUUUUGUUUUUUUUGCUGGUAACAAACAUCACAUUCCCACACUCAUGCAUCAGGAGAGAGCCUCACCGUGGUGAUGUUUAGGUGUGGUCUUUUUGGAGAGCGAGGGAAUACAAUAGCAUCUUACUGCUCCUUCUGGGCAUAUAGCACUACAUUUGUUUUAGAGACUGAAAAUAAGUGUGGGUGGUCGGUCGGGUCUAUAAAGGGAAAUUUAGGAGGAUAAAUUGUUUAUUUAUCUUAGCACCUUUCUGUGAACAUUUGACAGAGUUUUAGGUCAAGGUAUAGGACGUCCACUUGAAAAGCAAUGGCAAAUAAAUAAUUAGGCUCUAUCUUUAAGCACUGAAAAAUAUUUAUACUUUUUUUUGUUUCAUUUUGAAUUUUUUCUGUGAAUCCUUUCUGUGAGUUUCUGCACAAACUGGAGGCUUUGGGGCCAAAGACUGAUUCCAGAAACACUUAGGUAUGGAAGAAACUUUUGGGUGGGAAAGAUGGUGAGAUGAGAGAAAAGAAAGUAAGCUGAGAUGAGGUCUGUUCUUUUUCAUAGCCUUUUGCAACCGGCAGCUUAAGUCGCAGAACAUCAAACAACAGACAAGAGCUUGCCCCACCCAAAGUGUUGUGAACAUGGAUUAUUCACUUGCCAUUUUUAUUCCACUGAACUGCAGGAGCACUAAGUGCACAGAAGGUUCUAAUUCAUCCUGUGAGCUUUGUGAAAUAGAGUACGAGCCAAAUAAAAUGAAGCAGAGGAAAAUAAAGCUUCCCCCUGCCCUGCCCCACCCACCCACCUUGUCCUGCUUCCAUAUACUGUUUUUUUUUUGUUUUUUUGGCCACGCCCUCAGCAUGUGGAAAUUCCCCGGUCAGGGAUUGAACCUGCGCCACAGCAGCAACCUGAGCCACAGCAGUGACAGUGCUGGAUCCUUAACCCUGCUCAGCCACCGGGGAACUCCCUUCCUUCCAUAUUUCUGGGAACCUCCAUAUGCUGUGGGUGAGGCCCUAAAAAGACCAAAAAAAAAAAAAAAUAAAUAAAUAAAAAUAAAAUAAAAUAAAGUUUCAGAGUUCCCAUUGUGAAUCAGUGGGUUAGGAACCUAACUAGAAUCCAUUAGAAUGCAAUUCAAUCCCUGGCCUGGCUCAGUGGAUUAAGGAUCCAGCAUUGCCACAAACUGUGCCACAGGUUGCAGAUGCAGAUGCGGCUUGGAUCCUGAGUUGCUGUGGCUGUGGUGUAGGCCCCAGUUGCAGCUCUGAUUCGACUCCUAGCCUAGGAACUUCCAUAUGCUGUAUGUGUGGCUUAAAAAAAAUAAAGUUUCAUCUUGAGUUGCUAUUUGGAUCACUGCUAGACCCUAAAGAGAUUUUUUAAAAAUACUUAUUGAUUGAAUGAUAGAAUAUACAGAGCAUCACAAUGCCUGCUUCUGAGUAUAAUGAAAUUUUAAAGGUAAUGCAAUGUUAUGCUGUUCCUUAAUGGUAUUAGAGUGCCCAUCUGUUAAUUAUUCAAUCUGAUUUUAGUCAGGGUGAGAUUCACAUAUUUGUUUGAAAGCAACAUAAAUAUGAAUAAAUGUCACAUGUAAUUCAUCCAUGGUAACACCAUCUGUAAAAGCAAUAAAAACAUAAUUAGAUAGGGUGUUGUUUAAUCACAUUUUUUGGAAACCUCGACUGUCAUGCAGAGGCCCUCUGAUUAUAUCCUUAAUAUGCACUAAUCAGUGUCUACUGAUCUGGGCAGGGCAUCUUUUCAUUCUAGACAUUAAACUAUAGUGAUAUAUUGGGAAAAAUUAGUUUUGGUUGCUUGGAGUAGUUGCGACAAGAAUAAUUGGAACACUGUUCUAAAGAGCCUGUACUCUCUAGCUCAGAAACACAUGGCUGCAUGUGUGACAUUUCUAAAUGGUGACUUAUUCAAGGAAACUCUAGUUGAUUUUUUAUUUUAAGCUUCAGGUUAUGGAGGGGAAAAACAAAAAACAGAAAAGGAAAAUUAGGCAUUAAUGUUCCUAAUAUGGAGAGGCAGAGACUCCAAAUAAAGGU
ensembl:lncRNA